rnacentral:rRNA from 1 species
GAUGAACGCUGGCGGCGUGCUUAACACAUGCAAGUCGAACGAAGCAUUUCGGUCUUAAUCUUCGGAAGCAGACUGAUCUGACUGAGUGGCGGACGGGUGAGUAACGCGUGGGUAACCUGCCCUGUACAGGGGGAUAACAGUUAGAAAUGACUGCUAACACCGCAUAAGCGCACAGGAAGGCAUCUUUCGGUGUGAAAAUAUUUAUAGGUACAGGAUGGGCCCGCGUCUGAUUAGCCAGUUGGCAGGGUAACGGCCUACCAAAGCAACGAUCAGUAGCCGGCUUGAGAGAGUGAACGGCCACAUUGGGACUGAGACACGGCCCAAACUCCUACGGGAGGCAGCAGUGGGGAAUAUUGCACAAUGGGGGAAACCCUGAUGCAGCGACGCCGCGUGAGUGAAGAAGUAUUUCGGUAUGUAAAGCUCUAUCAGCAGGGAAGAAAAUGACGGUACCUGACUAAGAAGCCCCGGCUAACUACGUGCCAGCCGCCGCAGUAA